CUAAAGGCUGUGAACAGGAAGAGUAUCCAUGAUUUCCAUCCGUACAGAGAGCAGGAGGUGCUGAGAACCUGCCGGAACGAUCUGGAGAAAAUCGCCUGAGAGCCGAUGGCUGAAGCAAGGAGUAAGCCAAUCCGUAAUCCUGCGUUAAAGGAUAAGGUAUUAAGAUGUACCUGAUAACAUGGUAAAGGUGGUAUAACGGAGCUAAGCUUCGUCCUGACA
rnacentral:ncRNA from 1 species